rnacentral:rRNA from 1 species
GAUGAACGCUGGCGGCGUGCCUAAUACAUGCAAGUCGAGCGAACGGACGAGAAGCUUGCUUCUCUGAUGUUAGCGGCGGACGGGUGAGUAACACGUGGAUAACCUACCUAUAAGACUGGGAUAACUUCGGGAAACCGGAGCUAAUACCGGAUAAUAUUUUGAACCGCAUGGUUCAAAAGUGAAAGACGGUCUUGCUGUCACUUAUAGAUGGAUCCGCGCUGCAUUAGCUAGUUGGUAAGGUAACGGCUUACCAAGGCAACGAUGCAUAGCCGACCUGAGAGGGUGAGCGGCCACACUGGAACUGAGACCCGGUCCAGACUCCUACGGGAGGCAGCAGUAGGGAAUCUUCCGCAAUGGGCGAAAGCCUGACGGAGCGAGGCCGCGUGAGUGAUGAAGGUCUUCGGAUCGUAAAACUCUGUUAUUAGGGAAGAACAUAUGUGUAAGUAACUGUGCACAUCUUGACGGUACCUAAUCAGAAAGCCACGGCUAACUACGUG